AGUGAACGCUGGCGGUAGGCCUAACACAUGCAAGUCGAACGGCAGCACAGAGGAGCUUGCUCCUUGGGUGGCGAGUGGCGGACGGGUGAGGAAUACAUCGGAAUCUACUCUGUCGUGGGGGACAACGUAGGGAAACUUACGCUAAUACCGCAUACGACCUACGGGUGAAAGCAGGGGAUCUUCGGACCUUGCGCGAAUGAAUGAGCCGAUGUCGGAUUAGCUAGUUGGCGGGGUAAAGGCCCACCAAGGCGACGAUCCGUAGCUGGUCUGAGAGGAUGAUCAGCCACACUGGAACUGAGACACGGUCCAGACUCCUACGGGAGGCAGCAGUGGGGAAUAUUGGACAAUGGGCGCAAGCCUGAUCCAGUCAUACCGCGUGGGUGAAGAAGGCCUUCGGGUUGUAAAGCCCUUUUGUUGGGAAAGAAAUCCAUCUGGUUAAUACCCGGGUGGGAUGACGGUACCCAAAGAAUAAGCACCGGCUAACUUCGUGCCAGCAGCCGCCGUAA
rnacentral:rRNA from 1 species